GCCAGCAAGCGCGGUAAUACGUAGGGUGCGAGCGUUGUCCGGAAUACUGGGCGUAAAGAGCUCGUAGGUGGUUUGUCGCGUUGUUCGUGAAAACCGGGGGCUUAACCCUCGGCGUGCGGGCGAUACGGGCAGACUGGAGUACUGCAGGGGAGACUGGAAUUCCUGGUGUAGCGGUGGAAUGCGCAGAUAUCAGGAGGAACACCGGUGGCGAAGGCGGGUCUCUGGGCAGUAACUGACGCUGAGGAGCGAAAGCGUGGGGAGCGAACAGGAUUAGAUACCCUGGUAGUCCACGCCGUAAACGGUGGGUAUAGGUGUGGGUUUCCUUCCUUGGAAUCCGUGCCGUAGCUAACGCAUAAGUACCCCGCCUGGGGAGUACGGCCGCAAGGUAAAACUCAAAGGAAUUGACGGGGGCCCGCACAAGCGGCGGAGCAUGUGGAUAAUUCGAUGCAACGCGAAGAACCUUACCUGGGUUUGACAUGCACAGGACGCCGGCAGAGAUGUCGGUUCCCUUGUGGCCUGUGUGCAGGUGGUGCAUGGCUGU
rnacentral:rRNA from 1 species